rnacentral:lncRNA from 1 species
ACAGAAAACCCUACCCAUCCUCUUACUUUGUCACGAUGUUCGUUUUCGAACUGUCUAAGCAUCUGUUCUAGGUCAGGUCUGCCGGUGCCUAACAUGACUAAUUGCACAUCUUGGCCUAUCAUCCAGGGAAUUGCCUCGGCAAUUAGAUCAACACCUUUUUGUUGAUCUAGUCUCCCAAUAAAGCCAAGCAGUGGGACAUCUUCGCGAACUGGCAACCCGAGCUCCUUUUGUAGCGCGGCCUUGCAUUUAGGUUUACCGGUUUGCAGUGUUUCCAAGGAGUAGUUAGUAUAACCAUCGGAUUUGAGGUGAAUAUCGUAUUGUGGAUUCCAUUCCUUUGUAUCGAUU